rnacentral:rRNA from 1 species
GACGAACGCUGGCGGCGUGCUUAACACAUGCAAGUCGAGCGGAAAGGCGCUGCGUUUGUGGGGCGCUCGAGUGGCGAGCGGGUGAGUAACACGUGAGUAACCUGCCCUUGACUGUGUGAUAACUCCAGGAAACUGGGGCUAAUACCGGAUAUGAGCUCCUGCACCAUGUUGUGGGUUGGUAAGUUUCGGCGGUUGGGGAUGGUCUCGCGGGUUAUCCGCUUGUUGGUGGGGUUGUGGUAUACGAAGGCUUUGACGGGUAGCCCGCCUGAGAGGGGGACCAGGGACAAGGGGACUGCGAUAGGCCGCAGACUGGUACGGGAGGCAGCAGGGGGGAAUAUUGCGGAACGGGGGGAAGCGUGAUGUAGCGACGUCGGGUGCGGGAUGAUGGCUUUUGGGGUGUAAACCGCUGUGGCCGGUGACGAAGCCUGAGUGACGGUAACGGGUCAAGAAGCAACGGCUAACUACGUG